GGUGCAUGGUUGUCGGUCAGGCUCGUGUCGUGAGAUGUUGGGUUAAGUCCCGCAACGAGCGCAACCCUCGACCUUAGUUGCCAGCAUUCAGUUGGGCACUCUAAGGUGACUGCCGGCUAAAAGUCGGAGGAAGGUGGGGAUGACGUCAAAUCAUCAUGCCCCUUAUGACCUGGGCUACACACGUGCUACAAUGGGCGGUACAAAGGGUCGCGAACCCGCGAGGGGGAGCCAAUCCCAAAAAGCCGCUCUCAGUUCGGAUUGCAGGCUGCAACUCGCCUGCAUGAAGCCGGAAUCGCUAGUAAUCGCGGAUCAGCAUGCCGCGGUCGAAUACGUUCCCGGGCCUU
rnacentral:rRNA from 1 species